CAGCCGCCACGGUAACACGUAGGGUGCAAGCGUUAAUCGGAAUUACUGGGCGUAAAGCGUGCGCAGGCGGUUAUAUAAGACAGAUGUGAAAUCCCCGGGCUCAACCUGGGAACUGCAUUUGUGACUGUAUAGCUAGAGUACGGCAGAGGGGGAUGGAAUUCCGCGUGUAGCAGUAAAAUGCGUAGAUAUGCGGAGGAACACCGAUGGCGAAGGCAAUCCCCUGGGCCUGUACUGACGCUCAUGCACGAAAGCAUGGGGAGCAAACAGGAUUAGAUACCCGCGUAGUCCCUGUCUCUUAUAC
rnacentral:rRNA from 1 species